AUUUUCUAUCAGGCAUUCGCAAGGGUUCAUGCGUUCGUGUAUGCCUGUUUUUCGUCCUUAAAUCUACCAAACGCGUAUUCAAACCGAUGCGCGUUCAGCGGUUUGUAUUCCUUUGGACCAUUCUACUCCUGACUGCACAUCCUCAGCGUUCAGUAGUUUUCCCUUUGGGUUGUUUGUUUUCUGUGUUUGUUUUUCCCUCCGUUCAGUUUUCUCCAGUAUUACUGUUCUGUCUCUGUUUGCUUUAUUUCAAGCGACUGUUCGACAGAUUUCCCAUGAACAGAUUUCAAGGGGUUUAUCGCUGCCACUUUGGAUCGCGCCUCACAAGAUCCGCAAUGGCCAUUUAACCCCUGCAGGUUGCUAGAAAUUAAACAGGGGUGAGUCCCUGAUUUAUAAAGGUACCCUAGCUUAUGCUAUCUACUGCUUUUACUGGAAUACUUCUCUACUAAUAGUUCUGGGGGUGAGCCCCCCACAUCAUAUAAUUACAUACCCUGGAACCUUACCUUGCUGGAAAAUGAUGGCUAGUUGAUCUGU